rnacentral:rRNA from 1 species
UACGUAGGGUGCAAGCGUUGUCCGGAAUUACUGGGCGUAAAGAGUUCGUAGGCGGUUUGUCGCGUCGUUUGUGAAAACUCACAGCUCAACUGUGAGCCUGCAGGCGAUACGGGCAGACUUGAGUACUGCAGGGGAGACUGGAAUUCCUGGUGUAGCGGUGGAAUGCGCAGAUAUCAGGAGGAACACCGGUGGCGAAGGCGGGUCUCUGGGCAGUAACUGACGCUGAGGAGCGAAAGCGUGGGGAGCGAACAGG